rnacentral:rRNA from 1 species
UACGGGGGGGGCAAGCGUUGUUCGGAAUUACUGGGCGUAAAGGGUCUGUAGGCGGCCAACUCAGUCGGACGUGAAAUCCCUCGGCUCAACCGGGGAACUGCGUCCGAUACUGGCAGGCUUGAAUCCGGGAGAGGGAUGUGGAAUUCCAGGUGUAGCGGUGAAAUGCGUAGAUAUCUGGAGGAACACCGGUGGCGAAGGCGGCAUCCUGGACCGGUAUUGACGCUGAGGCGCGAAAGCCAGGGGAGCAAACGGG